GUUAGAGUGUAGAGGCGGCAGGGUAGCCUAGUGGUUAGAGUGUAGAGGCGGCAGGGUAGCCUAGUGGUUAGAGUGUAGGGGCGGCAGGUAGCCUAGUGGUUAGAGUGUGGAGGAGGCAGGGUAGCCUAGUGGUUAGAGUGUAGAGGCGGCAGGGUAGCCUAGUGGUUAGAGUGUAGGGCCGGCAGGUAGCCUAGUGGUUAGAGUGUAGAGGAGGCAGGGUAGCCUAGUGGUUAGAGUGUAGAGGCGGCAGGGUAGCCUACUGGUUAGA
ensembl:lncRNA